AUUGAACGCUGGCGGCAUGCUUUACACAUGCAAGUCGAACGGCAGCGGGGUAGUGCUUGCACUACUGCCGGCGAGUGGCGAACGGGUGAGUAAUAUAUCGGAACGUACCGAGUAAUGGGGGAUAUCCAAUCGAAAGAUUGGCUAAUACCGAAUACGUCCUGAGGGAGAAAGCGGGGGAUCGCAAGACCUCGCGUUAUUCGAGCGGCCGAUAACUGAUUAGCUAGUUGGUGGGGUAAAGGCCUACCAAGGCGACGAUCAGUAGCGGGUCUGAGAGGACGAUCCGCCACACUGGGACUGAGACACGGCCCAGACUCCUACGGGAGGCAGCAGUGGGGAAUUUUGGACAAUGGGGGCAACCCUGAUCCAGCCAUGCCGCGUGUAUGAAAAAGGCCUUCGGGUUGUAAAGUACUUUUGUUAGGGAAGAAAAGGGAAGUGCUAAUACCACUUUUUGCUGACGGUACCUAAAGAAGAAGCACCGGCUAACUACGUG
rnacentral:rRNA from 1 species